AAAUAAAUACAGAUGCUUAAUGUAAAACGCAGAAUAUUUACAAGGCUUAACAAAUAAUACUAUAUAUAAUAUUCCACAAUUCACAUAUAAUACCAAAUAUGAACCAAAUAACUUACAACCUGUACAACACAAUUAAUACAUAGGGAUAUUAACCUAUAUAACCCAAGUAACUUAACCAUAAUAUGUCUUUAAACCUUCACAAAUAACAAUACCAAUAUACACACUGAGACAUUACAACACAUAAACCAUAUAAACCCCCUUAAAGAAUACCCCUAGCUAUAUAGCCCUUAACACGACAACCUCAAAAUAGGGAGUGCACUCAGCACUUCCCCAAGGGGUUUCCCUGCGGCCCCUCCCCUUUAGGGCCCUGGGAUGUGGACACGCCCCUCCCACAGUGGACGAUGGAGACGGCAGACCCUCCUCACCUGCGUCAGCCUCCCCUGUGGGGCCCGCUUCCCCAGUAACUCACGCUUCUUCUCUGGAGAAGUCAGGGCUUGUCCCCUGGUGGCCAGUCCUGCAAAAGCCUCUCCCUAGUGGCACCUUCGGCUCUUCUCGAUGGCCUGGUGCCCUGCACUGGGCACCCAGGGCUGUCUGUCUCUCACGGGAGCCAAGCCCUUGCAGGCUCUGACUCCCCAGUCUCACACAUGGGGUUUUCCCCUUUUCCGGGCCCUGCUGUGGGCACUGGGGCUCUUUUAGUUACAAGUGGAGCUGCACUGCGGGGCUCCAGUCACUCGGCUUAGGACUGGGGCUAACAUGAGCAGCCGCGAGCUGCUUCCAAGGCAGUUCUCCGUGCGCUGACCUGCGCACUGGGUGAGGCCCGAGCAGCCUCAAGCUGCUCCCAGGGCCAGCUCUCCAUCUGCUGAUCUGCAUACCGACUACUCAGCCGCUUGCUGGGUUUGCAGGCUCAAGCUGCCUCAAACAGCUUCUAGAGCCUGAUCCCCACGCACCGAUUUGCACAUCACCAAAGCUCAAGCAGGGUCCUGAGGAUGGCCGUCUCUGGAGCACCUCUCUCCUCGCUGUCCCUCAUCAUUUCUCUCCCAGCCUGCUGAGCACGCUCCCCUUUUAUACUCUUCAGGGGUUCCACCCCCGAAGUUCUCCGGACCUGGCUGGGGCCGUUCCGAUUUCGGGCCCGCUGCUUCUUGCCCCCGCCCUUCAGAAAAGGGUGGGGCAUUGCUUCCCUUGUGCUGCCUCCAGAUUGGUGGGUGGGCUAUACCAAUCAAACAGCAGACCCUCAAUCCUGGGACUCAACCCAAGCUCCGAAAAGGUAAGCCUGCUACACUUCUACAGAGUGCAGCUCUUUUAGUUUCUGAAACCUCAGAAAAGUAUCAACGCCAGCAAAAAAAUAGAACAGUGCCCUAGAGCAGCGUUUUUCAAUACCUAGAGGAGUCACAAAAAGUAACAGGAUGGUCACAAUUUGCUGAACAUUUUAUUACAGCUGACAGUACAGCAUACAUUGUCUCCCCAUUCCCUGUACACACUUAGACUCCAAUGUCAAAUAUAACCUGUCAGUCUCUUGAACCAUACAUAUAAAUAAAUUAUAUAUCCUUAUCGUUGUCGAUAUUGAUGAUUUUUACCCUUACUUCCAAAGUAAAUUUAAAAGGUCAGGGUUUUAAAAAAAUCAAAUAAUUGCUUGCCAGGCUGAAAUGAGAAACAUUAAUAUUGCAGUAAAUUAAACUUCACAUUGCUACUGUUCUUGAAGCUGCCAUAAAUACUAUACUUUAGCAUAAAGGAGAAUGAAACUGGUUUCCAAAAAAAGUGUUUAUUUUUCAUAGAUGCCAUUUGCUGUUUGUAAGUUAUGUUCUCAUAAGGGAGCUGUACAGCAUGAUUUAAUAAUCACAGGGUAGAACAGUCAACUGUAAAUGAGUAGAACUAGAAUGAUGAAAAAAUUACAAGGAAAGACCCCAAUCCAGCAAAGCACUAAUCAUGUACAUAACUUUAAGCAGGUGGAUAGUCCCAUUGUAAUCAAAGGGUCUUACUUAAGUGCUUAAAGUUAUGGACAUAUUAAAGUGCUUGCCUGGAUCAAAGCCCAAAUCCUGAGCCAUGUUUUCAGCUGCAUACAGUCCAGAUGCAGUGGAAGCCAAAGAUUUCAAAUGAGCUAGCAGGGGAUUUCCUUACUAAGGGCAGAGUAAGAGUUGAAACUGCUGGCUACUAUAUAGGAGAACCAAGCUCUAGGAAGUUUCAUAGUGUCUCCCAUGCCAGCCAAUUUGCUAACUAAUGAUCAACCCAGGAACUUCAUUGCUGUUCCUGGUACAUGAAGCAGAAAGAGCACCUCUUCAGUAUCCAGAUCUUUGGCUGGCAUACUGUUAGCAGUCAGAAAUAUAAUCUGUUUCUUUGUAAACCAAGUUGUGUUGACGUCGAGAACAUUAAAGGCAAACAUGAAAUCCCAGAGGGUUUAGCGGCCAUUUUUUAAAGUAAUAAACACAAUUUAAAUCAAUGACUGGCUGUUAUACAGGCACCUCCUUUAAGUCCAGCCUUUCAACCUCCAUUUUCUUUACUCACACCAAAUCCGUGUGUGUGUGUGUGUGUGUGUGUGCGCGUGCAAAUAGGGGAAAUGCACAUGGAUGUUUGUAUAGUAUUCUGAUAGUUUACACACAUAUUGUUCAGGUAAACAUAGUGCAAGGGAAAUGAAAAUUUACCCCUUUAUUAAGCCAUCUUUUAUGUAAUAAGCACAGAAAGAACUGUGGGCUUUUAAGACUGUGUUAUUCUGAUUCGUUUCUCAUCCCUUACUUCUCUUUCAGGAAAUCUUACACAAGUUUCUUUUUCUUGUUUUUUGUUGCUUUCUGAUAACUCUUUAUUUUCAGAAUCCGCUUCUCUUUCCAAGCCUAUCUCUGGGAUCUAUUUCAUGACUACCAACACCAUCUCCACAUCAUCUCUGUACAGUGACUCCUAAAUCCACCUUUGUGCAGUUCCCUAUUUCUGCCUCUGAACAUAGGAUCACUGAAUCCAGCACCCUAUAAUUGCAGGCAAUGGUGUAAUAGACUUUUAUUAUAAAAGGUUUCAGAAAAUGAUCCUCUUACCUGCCUUCCACACACCACAAAGUCCCCUUUAGUCCUCAUCCCAAACUUUCGAUCUUUAAUAUAGACAAAACCUACAGCCUAGCAAGUGCUACAGGAAGAGAAUAAGAGAGACAAAGAGCACCAAGACCUUCAGUUCCCAAAAUUGCAUGGAAUCUGUUAGGAAAAGUGUGCCCAGAAAAUCCUAGGAAAUGGAUUAUGUCUUUUUGCUACAGAGGAAGGAAGGAAUAUCUUAACAGCCCUUGCCAAUUUGUUCUGGGGAUAAAUUCCUUCUUGGCCCCAAAUCUGUUGAUUGUUUUAACCCAGAGACACCCAAUAUACAGUAUGUUUCACUUACCAGUUUGUCCUAUUCUGUUAUUAAAAACCCCAAACAUUUAUUUACCCCCUUCUAAUCCCUUACCCCUUCCUUCUUAAUUACUGCUGAUAAUUUUAUCAUGCUUCCAAUCACCCAGGUUUAUAACCUGUGUCAUGUUUGACUCCUUUUCUCCCACCACAUAUAAACUAUUGCUUACUGCUAUUGGUUCCUAUUUUAUAACACCUGAUCUUUCCUCAAAUGCCUACUACCAAAGCCCCAGUCCAAGGCUUGGUCAUUGUAUAUGUUUCAAUCGCUGUUAAUGUUAUAAUUCUAUAGGACAUCCUCCUUCCCUUUCUCCUUUCUGAUUCUUUCUUAGAUUCAGCUGCUAUUUCGCUUUCUUGCCCACCAGUCAGGCUGUAUCAAUUUCCUAUUUUAAUUCUUUAACUGGUCCCUUCUUUAUCAUGUUCAGUCUUCUGUCUUCACCUUCAGGGCUGUGUGCAAUUCUGUUCCUGCCUUAAUCAAUGCUUAUGUCUUUGCUCCCACACACUGUGGUCCACCCAUACCUUCCCCUAAUCACUUCCUUCCUUACCUCCUCACACUCUUCUCUAAGUGCUUUCAUUUAUGCCGCCCUUUAUUUAUGUCUGGGACAACUUGUAAACAAAAUCUGCCAAUGCCUCAUUCAAAUCUCUCCAGAAAAAUUUAUUUCUCCCACAAAGUCUAUCCAAUUGAAAUUCUUCCACUAAAAUAGGCAUCAGUCCUUUAUAAUAAAAAUGUUCCUGUUUCAUAACCCCAAAAAACCCACAAAAAACCCCUAAGAUGAAACUAGCUGUGGAAUUGGCUUUUGCCAGUUGCUUUCUGCCAAAAUGAUGUGCUGGCUCUCUCAGUAUUAGAAUGGACUGUCUUCCAUAUAUUUGCCAUGUUCUUUUCUGUCCUCAGAUGCUGAGCCUCCUCAGAAGGGCUUUUGGGCCUGAUUCUGAUUUCUCAUUGCUUGUAAAAGGCUACAACCUCACUGAUGUCAACAGAGCUAAACAGCUCCUUUGAAGAAACCUCUCUUCUAGCUCCAUCUCCAUAAUUCUGCGCCUUGCCAUAAAGAACAUGUAAAUUAAGUGCCCACACUGGUUACCAAACAAUGGGAUUCACUAUUUUUUGGGACUUUGGAACCUUGAGAAAAGAUCUUCACAUCUGCCAAGAGCAGUCAACUGUCAACCCAUAACUGGCAUCCUCAACGGGUUGGCUGAUCCCAUACGGCAGGCUUUAAACUAGCUUCGCCGGGGGAAGGGGCCACUCCAAGUAGAGAGGAUGCUUCGCCAGCAUGCAGGGUGACAAGAGAAAGGGACGCGCAGAAGGAUGUCAUAUAGGUAGAAGAAGGUGUGGAAACCCUGUUGCUGCAUAUAUGGCUAUCUUACACCAUAAAAAACAGGAAAAAAGUACAGACUAAUUUUUUUACCAUCACAAGUCAGCUUUGAAGUCUUGGAAUAGCAUAGCUGUGAUCUUGGUGGAACAGAAGCACUUUCUCUGGAUUUCUUCCCUUCCCAGCAAAAACAACAUGAAAGGAAAAGAGACCUACAGCCACAUAUAACGCCUUUCCUCUUACCGUCUCUGAAAACCUUUGAGGCAACAGCAGCAGAAACAAGGAUCCUGGUACAAAGCAGUGUUCUGCAAAAUAGACACUACUAACUUCGCUUUACUUCUUAUUUUGACCCAUCACUGGAAAUGGUGAUUUUCCUUUUUACAUUUGGAGUUUCCAACAAAAUCCCACUGUUCUCCUGGUAACUCCAAAUAUGUGUUUGUGUGUGCUGGGGGAUGCUAUAUCUUGUAUUUAGGAAUUAAAUCCUUUCUUAAGGAUCA